rnacentral:lncRNA from 1 species
GUAGAAUAAAUCAUUCUGGGGGAAAAGAUCUUUGGAAUUUUAUACUUUCAGGGACAAAGUUAAGAAGGAAUAGCAAGAAAGAAAGAUGAACAUACGAUGAACAUUCCUACACAUACAGUACCUGGGUUAAAUUCAUGGCAAGAGGUCCUUAUCCUUCAUGGCAAGAGAGAUGGAGCUCUUGGAAUAUUCUUCUUCCUUGAUCAAAAUACCCUCCAUCUAAGAAAGAUUCACUUCUCUUGCAGAAAUACCACAUCUGUCUGGUAAGUUCUUUGUGACAUAGCCUGAACCACUUUGAAGGUAAGUAACAAAAUUUGAUGUAUAUUUCCAUUUGUCAUUUAUAAACUAUUUUAUAUUUGCCCUAUUUUCUCAAAAAGUGUAUUCUUUCAUGGCAGAAAACAUGUCAUCUAGGUUCUUUCCCUUCUACACUACCUGGGAGACUAUUGGAUGGUUGGAAACAUAAAUAUCUGUGUUUUGAAUAUCUCAAUAUUAUAAUCUGUAAAACUCAUUCUAGAAAACCACUAAAGUGCUAUUUUGAUGAUUAUUGCAAUUAUAUUUGAAAGCAUUGCUAAAAUGGAC